ACCAUGGGAGUGGGCUGCAAAAGAAGUGGGUAGUUUAACCUUAGGGAGGACGAGCACCACUUUGUGGUUCAUGACUGGGGUGAAGUCGUAAAAAGGUAGCCCUAGGGGAACCUGGGGCUGGAUCACCUCCUUAUACGAAGAUA
rnacentral:rRNA from 1 species